rnacentral:lncRNA from 1 species
GGGGGGUUGAAUUUGCAAACAGAGACAAAAGGCACAAAAACUUGUAAUACUAGGAGUAUGUUGAAUUGAAUUAUUGACAGACAAAUUCAGUUACUAUAAGUUGUAUAUAAAAACAUCAUCCGAAAAAAAAUUAAAAAAAUAAAAAAGUUUAUGACAACAAUCAAUUCCCAUCAACAUCUUCUCUCCUCAUUCGUAUACCAAGCAACCCCAUCUCAAAAAAAAAAGGAAAAAGAAAAAUUCAAUUUACCAGGAAAAAUACAUUUUUUUGGAUUUUGUGGAAGAAGAAGAGAAAUACAGAACUUAACUCCUGCAACGAGUGAUAGCACUGCAACCACGAGAGUAAGGAUUAGCCUGAGCACCAGGUUUGCAGUUGUAAUACGAGGCUCCACGGCGAGAACAAGGUACACUGUUCUUCUGCAGCGCACCAUAGCUGAUGUACUUUUUGGUGGCUAAAAUGCGCCUGUUUGACUCACUGUCCAGCUCAAACUCCUCUUCUUCAGCCAUGCACUCUCCAAUACUCCCGUUGCAUCCCCCACCAGAUCUCGCCGGCAUCACCCAAUCGUAGGCCCCACUAUCUCCGGCAGCCGCCAUUGUAAUGAAAAAAGCUCCGAUCAGAACACAAAGAAUUAAACCUGAAGGAACUCCCAUUUUUACCUUGUACUGAAAAAAUGAUGAGAAAUUAAAAACACCCUUUAGCUAUUUUUGCCUGUUUAUGCUUUGGACGGCUGGUUUUUGGUAUCUUCUCACUAUGUUUUCGCUGUUGAGACUUGGCAAAAACAAAAUCUUGAACUAAGACAA